rnacentral:tRNA from 1 species
AAGUAGUGAAGUAAAAGUAUUUACAUUUAGUUUCGACCUAAAAAUAGAGUAAUAUUCUCCUUACUUA